GACGAACGCUGGCGGCGUGCUUAACACAUGCCAGUCGAACGGAAAGGCCCUGCUUUUGUGGGGUGCUCGAGUGGCGAACGGGUGAGUAACACGUGAGUAACCUGCCCUUGACUUUGGGAUAACUUCAGGAAACUGGGGCUAAUACCGGAUAGGAGCUCCUGCUGCAUGGUGGGGGUUGGAAAGUUUCGGCGGUUGGGGCUGGACUCGCGGCUUAUCAGCUUGUUGGUGGGGUAGUGGCUUACCAAGGCUUUGACGGGUAGCCGGCCUGAGAGGGUGACCGGCCACAUUGGGACUGAGAUACGGCCCAGACUCCUACGGGAGGCAGCAGUGGGAAAUAUUGCACAAUGGGCGGAAGCCUGAUGCAGCAACGCCGCGUGCGGGAUGACGGCCUUCGGGUUGUAAACCGCUUUCGCCGGUGACGAAGCGUGAGUGACGGUAAUGGGUAAAGAAGCACCGGCUAACUACGUG
rnacentral:rRNA from 1 species